ensembl:lncRNA
AGUAAAUUGUGUUAAACACUUCUAUAUUAAAUAGUAGGGGAGCUGGUUACCAGGAAGAACGAUAGAUUAAAUUGUAAUCUAGACUUCUUUUUCAAAAUUUUCUUUUUCUUUACAUUUUUCUUUUUUAACCUUGGAUAAGUCAUUAAAAAUUUCUGGGCUUAUGUUAGUUAUAUGUAAAAUAAAGGAGUUUGACUGCAUGAUAUUUUCUAUUUUUAUAACUUUUAUUUUGGUUCAGGGAUACAUGUGAAGAUUACCUAUAGAGGUAAAUUGUGUGUCACGGGGUUUUGGUGUACAGAUUAUUUCACCACCUAGGUAAUUAGUACCCAACAGGUGGCUUUUCAGUUCUCACCAUCCUCCUUCCCUCCACCUUCAAGAAGGCCCCAGUGUCUGUCGUUCCCUUCUUUGUAUCCAUGUGUUCUCAAUGUUUAGCUCCCACUUGAUAGUGAGAACAGUCUGGUGAUUUUUCAAAUAACUCAAAGCAGAAUUAUCAUUCGACCCAGCAAUCCCAUUAUUGGGUAUAUACUCAAAGGAAUCUAAAUUGUUCUACCAUAAAGAUGCAUGCAUGUGUAUAUUUACAUAACCACACUAUUCACAAUAGCAAAGAUGUGGAAUCAACCUAAAUGCCCAUCAACGGUAGACUAGAUAAAGAAAAUGUAGUACAUAUAUACCAUGGAAUACUAUGCAGACUACAUAAUGUUUAAGUUUCUUUACAUUUUUAAAAUUCUGUGAUUCUAGAAAGAAGAAUUGAGUUUUGGAGCAGAAAUUGAAAUACUUUGGGAAUUCAAAUAUGUCAACUUUCAAAGUUUCUUGAGUUUAUUUAUAUACAUUUUACAGUUUGCAUAAUGGAUUCACAUGCAUCUUUGCAUUUAUUCAUUAUAAAUGAAGCAGGGAGAGCAGGAAUUAUCUCCGAUUUGCAGGUGACUUGUUAAAUGAUUGUAUAAGAACACAGAUGGUGAGUGGCAGAUGUGGAACUUGAACCCAUUUCUGCAGAAUCUUCUUGGUUAUUCAGCAUCCAACUCUCUCUCCUAAACUUAGCAACUUUGUACUUUUUCCUGUCUCUAAAAUGCCCAGUAUUUUAUAUUGUUUCUGUUUUGUACAGUAUAACCCUGUAAAUAUACAUAGUUCAAUAUGUUAUUUGCAUUUUGAAAAAAAUAGGUGCUUAUAUGUCUAAAGUGUAAUUUGGUAUACCAUAAUUGUCAUUGAGUUUUGACAGCAGAUAAUUUAAUCUUGGUAAAUACAAUACUAUAUCCUGACACAGAUACAAAUAUGUGGGCAAGCUGGGUUGGCAAAUUUCUCAGCACUUUUCAUGUUGUUUCCAUUUCUGGAAAUAAAGUCUGAUCUGCAGGAGGGAAAAAAAUAGUCUUAUGAGAGCAGCAAUGAGAAAGUUCUGAACAGUGCAGUCCAAGAUAGACAAUAAAAUUACUGCGGUAACAUUAAUUCCAUUCCAUAGUUUAAAGAUUCAAAAAUAAUUUAAAAAAAAAAUUGUUUUCAUUGGCUGUAAAUAUAUUUCACAGAUAAGAAUAGACCCUUAAAAAUGACCUUCCCAUUUCAUGCUGUUUCUUUCAAGUCUGGCAACCAGCUUGUAGGAAAGUGCCACUUCUAAUUCAGGAUGUGAUGUGUCACUUACAGUAGCUCAUUGUCCUUCUUACCAGAAACGUUCUUCAGUCUUGGGAGGUCUGAGAGGUUGUGGUAGUUUAUUAAUUUGUUUGUCUUCAAAAAGAAGUCAUGUGAAGAGAGGAAUCCACCCAUAGAAAAAGCAAAAGAUGGCCGGGCGCAGUGGCUCACGCCUGUAAUCUCAGCACUUUGGGAGGCCGAGGUGGGGGGAUCAUGAGGUCGGGAGAUCAAGACCAUUCUGGCCAACAGGGUGAAACCCCGUCUCUACUAAAAAAAAAAAAAAAAAAAAAAAUUACCAAACAUUAGCCGGACGUGGUGGUGGGCGCCUGUAGUCCCAGCUACUGGAGAGGCUAAGGCAGGAAAAUGGUGUAAACCCGGGAGGUGGAGCUUGCAGUGAUCGGAGAUGUGCCACUGCAUUCCAGCCUGGGCGACAGACUGAUACUCCGUCUCAAAAAAAAAAAAAGAAAAAGAAAAA